CACCGAUAAAGGCAAACUACGCCGAAAGGGUAGGACGCAAAGUCUCCGGCCUAAAGCCUGCGGGCUAGGGUAGCGGGAUUGCCGAA
rnacentral:ncRNA from 1 species